rnacentral:rRNA from 1 species
GUGGGGAAUCUUGCGCAAUGGACGAAAGUCUGACGCAGCCACGCCGCGUGAGUGAAGAAGGCCUUCGGGUUGUAAAGCUCUGUCGCCCGGGACGAAAAAUCAGUGGGUUAAUACCCCAUUGAUCUGACGGUACCGGGAAAGGAAGCACCGGCUAACUCCGUGCCAGCAGCCGCGGUAAUACGGAGGGUGCAAGCGUUGCUCGGAAUUAUUGGGCGUAAAGGGUAGGUAGGUGGUCUCGUUUGUCUGGGGUGAAAGCCUUGAGCUUAACUCAAGAAGUGCCCCAGAAACGGCGAGACUAGAGUCUUGGAGAGGGUCGUGGAAUUCCCGGUGUAGCGGUGAAAUGCGUAGAGAUCGGGAGGAACACCAGAGGCGAAGGCGGCGACCUGGACAAGUACUGACACUCAACUACGAAAGCGUGGGGAGCAAACAGG